rnacentral:rRNA from 1 species
UGACGGUACCACUUGAAUAAGCUCCGGCUAACUACGUGCCAGCAGCCGCGGUAAUACGUAGGGAGCAAGCGUUAUCCGGAUUUACUGGGUGUAAAGGGCGUGUAGGCGGGACUACAAGUCAGAUGUGAAAGCACGGGGCUCAACUCCGUGUCUGCAUUUGAAACUGACGUUCUUGAGUGUUGGAGAGGCUAACGGAACUCCUAGUGUAGCGGUGAAAUGCGUAGAUAUUAGGAAGAACACCAGUGGCGAAGGCGGUUAGCUGGACAAUAACUGACGCUGAGGCGCGAAAGCGUGGGUAGCAAACAGGAUUAGAUACCCUG